GAUGAACGCUAGCGGCAGGCCUAAUACAUGCAAGUCGAACGGGUGGUCGCAAGACCACUAGUGGCGCACGGGUGCGUAACGCGUAACCAACCUGCCCCGAUCUGGGGGAUAGCCCGCCGAAAGGCGGAUUAAUACCGCAUAUACCCGCAGCCUGGCAUCAGGCAACGGGGAAAGAUUUAUUGGAUCGGGAUGGGGUUGCGUGACAUUAGCUAGUUGGCGGGGUAAGGGCCCGCCACGGCGACGAGGUCUAGGGGACCUGAGAGGGUGCACCCCCACACUGGCACUGGGUUCCGGGCCCGACUCGUGCGGGAGGCAGGAGUAGGGAAUCUUGGGCCGUGGGCGUGAGCCUGCCCCAGCCCUGCCGCGUGCCGGAUCAAGGCCUUCUGGGUUGUAUACGGCUUUUCUCAGGGAAGAAAAAGACCUUGCGAGGUACACUGACGGUACCUGAGGAAUAAGCACCGGCUAACUCCGUG
rnacentral:rRNA from 1 species